AGGCCUAGCAGGGGAUCGAACUCUGGAUCUUUGGUUUACAAGACCAACGCCUUACCACUUGACCACUAAGCC
rnacentral:tRNA from 1 species